UUUGUUUGUUUGUUUGUUUGGUUGGUUGGUUUGGGUUUUUAAAUAAAAUUGAUGAAAGUUUAUUGGUCACAGUCUUUUAAGGUGAAAUACUGAGAGGUGAGGACUGUUUCUUCCUAAAGAAAUGCAGAUCAUUUAGACAUCAAUGAAAGUUCUGCAUUCACCCACUGAAUGACAGCUCUCAGAUAUUUUGGUACUUUUUGCAUAUUUUUGCAAAGAAAGAAAAAUGACCCCCUAAUUGACAGCUGCUGUAAUCAUUUUCAGAGAUGAAACACAGAGGUCUUAACUAUAUUAUAAUAAAAUAUCUACAGAUUAGAAGUCUUGUCAUUCCACUGGAAGUAAAGGAAAUAGUUUGGUGAAGUUAAUAACCUAACAAAUACUGAAAAUACUCAGAUUUGUUAGUAAUUGUCCUAUAUGAUUACUUUGUGUCAGACAUUCCUGAGUGAAUGGCAGAAAGUAUACUUACAUGGAGAAUUUCAUAAGUGAUUUCAAAUCAAUCUAUGAUGUAGGUCCCUUUGUUCUUCCUAACUAUCAUGUUCCCCAAAUCCAUCAAUCCACUUUUGUCUCUAACAGCUACAAUUUGCUAUUUACAUAAAGAGACUGUUUAGAUUUCCCUCUCCACCUUAUGACUUAUUUUUAUUUCAGUCAUUUUGUAAGAAUAUCUUAAAAUAAGCAAAGAUAUGGAGCCAAGGAUAUUAAGAGGUUUAAUUAGCUUUGAUUAUUGCAAGUCCCCCAAGAAAUAAUAAUUGGCCAUUCCUGGCCAACAACUGAGCAUGGCAGGAGCUUCAGAGCAGUGAAACUCAAUUGACUGAGCAAUGCAGCUUCAUUGCUGGAAUCUUUGGGACUUCUCUAAUAUGGGUAGCUUUGGCUUGAGGAUCACCCAUCAGCCUACCUGAAACCCUCAGAACUGUGCUGCCAUCUGAGAGCCUGCCUACUCAUCCUUUCUUUUCCCUUUCCUUCAUAGAUGUCAGAUCUGCGUCACAGUUUACAGACUUUCCCACCUUCUCCUCCUUCCUUCCCUUUUAUCUUUCAUAGACAUUUCCCCUAACAAGUCUUUUGGAUGUUGUUACAGGCUGUGUUGUAUUCUCCCCAAAACUCAUAUGCUGAAGCUCUAAGCCCCCAAUAACUCAGAAUGUGACUAUAUUUGGAUGUAGGUCCUUUAUAAAGGCAAUUAAGCUGUUAGGGUGAACCCUAAUCCAAUCUGACUAGUGUUCUUAUGAGAAGAAGAAAUUGCGCACACAAAGAGACAUUGAGGACAUGUGUGCAGAGGAAGGGCACAUGAGAACACAGCAAGAAGCUGGCCAUCUGCAAUCCAAGAGAGAUGCCUUGGAAGAAACCAAUCCUGGUAUCUUGGACUUCUACACUCCAGAACUGUGAGAAAUAAAUGUCUGUCGUUGAUGCUACCCAGUCCCUGGUACUGUAUUCUGUUAUGGUAGCCCUAGCUAUUACACAUGUCAAAUACCACCUUGGCCACUGCUCAGAGGGUCCAAAGUGACACAAGUGGUAGCAGGAGAGGUCUAAAAACAAAAGCAAAAAAAAAGCUAGAAAAUAAAAUGAAGUUUCAGGACUGGCUCACCCACUGUCUGGUGGGCAAAGACAAUAUUAUAGGGACAUGGGUAGUUUCCAGCACAAAGUGGUGACCAGGAGCUAAAGAUUUCAUCAGCAGUGGCCUGGGAAAACAUGCCAGCAGAGGAGAAGAAUACAAUUUCAGGCAUUUGAAAUGUACUGAGGGUCGAGGAGGGCAAUGCUUACAAUGACAAUGGAGCUGGCUGGUUACUGCUAAGAGCUCAGGAGGGAUAACACAGAAAAACAAAGGUCCCCCUUGAUUAAUAGCCAAGUAUGGGAGAUAAGAGGACCUCGUUAGUAACAUACAAAGAGGCUUUUAUCUCCAAUAGUGGAAGACCUGAUACAGUUAUGCCACAAACUUGGGACAUGAUAGAAGCACAGAUCCAAAAGACAUUUAAGUGUAGCCAAAGCUGGUCAAGACCCUGGUUGAAAAAGCCUGAAACCCUGAAGCAAGGGAUGAGGCAUCUGGAUGCACAACUGUAAGGAUCUUAGCUCUGCAGACCCUUGUGAACUUUCAAAGCUUGCAGAGAUAGUCUACCUCUACAUAGUAAGAACUAGUACUUCCUCCAUGCUCAAAGAUGCUGCAAAGCCAUUCCAUCUCCUGGCUGCUAUGAUAAUAACUGGUGUCAAAUCCUAGCAUAACCCAGCUGAAAACAUGCCUGGCCUAAUAAAGGAGGAAAGAGAUCAUAUACAAAGGAGAUAUAAGAAUGAGCACAUAGAAACAAGUCAGGGGAGUUUUGAGGUUGCUUGAUCAUGGGGGUUGGAAUUUUAGACUAGACAAUCAAGAAUUCAUUGACUUAGCAGCACUUUCGUGAGUCAGGAUUUAACACUCUGGCUACAGAAACUAAAUGGGUCCUGGAGAAUGACUGGAGACUACCAUAGAUUUCAGCAAGUCACAGCUCCAAUAGCACUUGCUGUACUUUAUAUAGUCUUAUUGCUAGUGCAGAUUAGUAAGGCAUCAGGACAUGAUGUGUGGCCAGUGGUUUGUUGAACAAAUUAUUUUCCAUUUUGAUUAGGAAAGAGCAUGAGGGACAGAUAACCAUUUACAGUUUUGCCUCAAGGAUAGAUUAACCUGGCCCUCUGUCGUAAUAAAGUCCAAAGAAAUCUGAACUGCCUGAACAUCUCAUGGAAUAUCACAUUGACCCAUUGCAUCAGUGAUAUGCUGGUCAGACUGUACAAGUAAGGGGUGGCUAGUAUGCUGGAGGCAUUGGUAAGACUAAUGCUCCAGAAAGUAGAAGAAAAAUGCUAUAAAGAUUCAAGGAUUUGCCACUUCAGUGACGUUUUUAGAGUGUACCAUUAUAUCCUUCCAAAUCAAAAGUCAAAGUGCUGGAUCUUGCAUCCCUUACCACAGAGAAGAAUGCACAGGACUUGGUAUGUCUCUUUAUGUCUGGAGCAACACACACCACACUUAGAAAUAUUGUUCCUGCCCAUUUACCAGGUGAUAUUGAAGAUGUCCAUCUUUGGGGUCCAGAGCAGGUGAAGGCUCUUCAGAAGUCCAGGCUACAGUACAAACAUCUUUGCCACUUUGGCCAUUUAUUCCAGUAAAAUCUUGUAUUGAAGGUGUCAGAGUGGGAAAAGAAGCAGUUUGGAGCCUGUGAUGGUUAAUUUUAUGUCAACUUAACUGGGCUUCGGGGUACUCUGGUAUUUGGUCAAACAUUAUUCUGGGUGUGGCUAUGGGUGUUUCCAGAUGAGAUUAACACUGGUUGGUAGAAUGAGUAAAUCAGAUUGACAUCCCUAAUGUAAGUGGGCCUCAUUCAACCAACUGAAGACCUGAAGAGAACAAAAAGGUAUAGUAGAAGGGAACUGCUGCUUGAUUGCAGAGCUAGGAUGUUGGUCUUUUCCAGCCUUUAGGCUUGGACCGAAACAUCAGCUCUUCUUGGAUCUUGAACCUACCAACUUUCAGACGGGGAAAUUACGCCUUUGGCUUCCCUUGUUCUCAGGCCUUUGGCUUCAGACUGGAACUACACAUCAGCUCUCGUAGGUUUCCAGCUUGACGACUGCAGAUCUUGGGACUUCUUGGCCUCCAUACUCAUAUCUUGACACCAGCAGUGGAAUGCAGCUGUAACAAAUACCUAAAAUAUGGAAGCAGUUUUGGAACUGGAUGAGUGGAGUUGGAGGAGUUUUAAAGUGCAUGCUAAAAAUAUGGACAUUAAGGACAAUUCUGGUGAGAUGUCAGAUGGAAAUGAGGAAGACAUUACUGGAAACUGGAGGAAAAGUGACCCUUGUUAUAACGUGGCAAAGAACUUGGCUGAACUGUGUUCUACUGUUUUGUGUAAAGUUGUGAGUGAUGAAAUUGGAUAUUUAGCUAAGGAGAUUUCUAAGCAAAGUAUUGGAGGAGGGGCUUGGUUCCUCCUGAUUGCUUAUAGUAAAAUGUGAAAGAGAGAUGAAGAAGUUGUUAAUUAGCAAAAAGGAACCAGAACUUGAUGAUUUAGAAAUUUCUCAGCCUACCCAUAUUGAAAAGCAUGAAAAAGCAUGUUCUAAAGAGAAUACCAAAGGCACAACUUAUUUAUCACUUGAUAAAGAGUUUAUGGGAUUAUAUGAGCAGAAAGAGCCAAUUUGAACUAAAGGGGAUGGAGAUGGGACCAGACAAAGGAAGGCUGUUGGGCUUAUUGAAUUUGACAAGACAGAAUGAUAGAGCUAUUCAGCUGCAAACAUGCAGUAUUCUGCAAGAAGAGGGGAAAAUGAUUCUGAAAGUGAUUAAGAGAUUAUCAGGGCCACUACACUACCUCAGUUUCAACAUCUUUAGGAGUGGGACUACCCAACAGGACCUUGGGGGGUUGAUGCUGCCACCUACUGGACCUGGAGGGCAGAGCGUUGAACCAAGGAGGAUUAUUCUAAAUUAUUCUAAAGCCUUAAAAUCUAAUGGACUUUGUCUUCCUAAAUUUUGCACUUGCUUAGGACCAUCAACCCUUUCUUAUUCUCCCUUUUGGAAUGAGAAUGUCUAUCAUAGGACUAUCCCACUAUUGUAUUUUGAAAGUAUAUAACUUGUCUGAUUUCACAGACUCACAGCUGGAGAGGAAUUUUGCCUCAGGAUGAAUCAUACCUCCAGUCCUUUUCUAUCUGAUUUAGAUGAUAUUCAGAUGAGGCUUGAGUUGAUGCUAGAAUGAAUUAAGAGCUUUGGGGAUUUGGGGAUGAAAUUAAUGUAUUUUGCAUGCAAUAAUGGCAAGAAUUUUAGGAGGCCAUGGGAGACUGAAUGUGUCCCCCUCCAAAUUCAUACAUUGAAGCCCUAAUCCCCAAUGUGAUGACAAAGAGGCACCAGAGAGCUCAUUUUCUCUGCCCUGUAAGGAUACAGUGAUAAGGUAGUUCUCUGCAAGUCAGGAAGAGAGCUUUCACCAGAUCUUGAUCAUCCUGGGAUCUUGAUCUCAGACUUCUGGCCUCCAGACUGUGAGAAAAUAAAUCUCUGUUGUUUCAGCCACCCAGUCUAUGGUAUUUUGUCAUGGCAGCCCAAGCUGACUAAAACAGAGUAUAUGGUAAGCCCCAAUGAAAACAUCACAGUGUAGUCCCCAGGAUGCUGGAGCAAGGUCGUGCCAUCUGCAGCUGAGAAUUAUAUACAGUUUAAGAACCAGCUACGAGUGAGAAUCAGACAGACACUAAACCUGAGUGGAGACAGAACACUCAACCACAGGACAUCAGGUAACCAUGUCCAGAACCACUUGUUAUGGACUGAGCUCUUUUGGUUCCGCUGGACCCAGCCGCAUCUCUUGUAAGAUGGAAAUGGUACAUACAGGAUGGAGCUCAAACACAACUGGGGCACUUGUAAGCCACAUGACCUGGUAGCCCACAUCCCCAUAUAACCCACCACAGCUGCACCAAUACCCUGACCUGCUGAAGGAAGAAGGGUAAACCCUAAGUUUGGUUUAUGGAUGAGUCAGCUUAGUUUUUGGGUACAAACCCAAAUUAGAUAGUGGCUGCAUUAUAGUUACAUUCUUCAGAGUCUUUGAAAAACAGCAAAGAGGGAAAAUCUUCCCAGUUGAUACAGUUACAAGGAUUGUCCCUGAUUGUUUUUUGUACCAGGAGAAGCAGGCUGAAGAAUACAUAUAGAUUCUUGGGCAGAUGUCAGUGGCCUAGCAGAAAACCUAGUAGGGGACCUGGAAGGAAAAGGACUAGAAGAUCAAAGACAAGGAGAUCUUGGGUAGAGUCGUGUGGAUAAGUAUAUAGGAGUGGGCAUGAAGUGUGAAGAGUUUUAUAUCAUAUCUUGUAUCCACCAGGGAAGAGGCACCAAGCAAUCAAGUAGACAAAAUGACUCAUCCAGUUGUCAUUACAACCUUAAUCAAUGGCCACCUUGGAACCCACAUGAUUGUGUUAUAGGCACUGUUAUGGAUUACAUUUUAUCCCCCUAUCAAAUUCUUAUGCUGAAGUUCUAGCCCCCAAUACCUUAAAUUGUAACCUUAUUUGGAAAUAGGGUAGUUGCAGAUGUAAGUAGUUAAGAUGACACACUGGAGGAGGGUGGUCCCCUAAUUCAAUAUGACUGGUGUUCUUAUAAGCCGAUAACCAUGUGAAAACAGAGACACAGAGAGAAUGCCAUGUGAAGAUAAAACAGAUCAGGACGAUGUAGCAGAAGCCAAAGAUUGCCAGCCAACCACCAGAAGCUAGGGGAGAUGCAUGGGAAAGAUUUUUUUCACAGCCCUCAAAAGGAACCAAGCCUACGGACACCUUGAGCUCAGACCUCCAGCUUUCAGAACUUUCCCUUUCAGGAAGAGAGGCCUAUGGGAACCAUGGAAGAGCUUCUCCCCAAACCAGCAUGAAGAAAUAGGUCUGUGGGGCAAAGAAGUCUGAAAAUGGGCCACUGGAUUCCUUUCUGUGGAGCAUAGUUAAUCGAUGGCCCCAACUACUAACUUGGAUCCACCAAUAAGGUCACAGCUGAGGCCAUGCUUCUCACAACCUAUUCCUAGCUAAUGACUGAGUAUCUGGGGUAAUAAAUCAGACUUCUUUCUUUGAGA